CGGCGAACGGGUGAGUAACACGUGAAUAAUCUACCUCCGAGUGGGGAAUAACUGAGAGAAAUCUUAGCUAAUACCGCAUAACACUUACGAGUCAAAGCAGCAAUGCGCUUGGAGAGGAGUUCGCGGCCGAUUAGUUAGUUGGCGGGGUAAUGGCCCACCAAGACGAUGAUCGGUAUCCGGCCUGAGAGGGCGCACGGACACACUGGAACUGAAACACGGUCCAG
rnacentral:rRNA from 1 species